rnacentral:misc_RNA from 1 species
GAACGCAUAUUGCACUCUCUGGUUUUCCAGGAGUAUGCCUGUUUGAGGGUCAGUUAAAUAAAAAUCGGUGUUGCUGCUGCCUUUUGUGGUGACGCUUCGGAAUUGGGUCGUCUUUGCCUUUGGUUAAGUGACCUAAAAUUUAAUAUGAUUUUCGAACGUAUUUAAAUCCAUUAUGUACGUUUGUGAUAAUCGAAUAUUAGGGGUGGCCAUCCUUAUGGUUCGCGCCUAUAAUUUUUCAUCAAUUGACCUCAAAUCAGGUAAGAGUACCCGCUGAACUUA